CAAGGAUUACUUUAGUACAUACAAUGACAGUGUACAUACACUGAAUAAUAUUGUUUCCCUUAUAAAUUUGGAACCAUUGUAAAUGUCCAAAGUAAGUUUUUGGAAGAAACUAAUCAAUUUCUGUUUCCUCCUUUUGUGAGGAGUUGGCCCUUAAUCCACAUAGUCGACGAUGAAAACCACGUGGGAAUAAACCACUAACUUCAGCUAUUUUUGACAACACAAGACACUAACAUGGUCAACAUCCAAGGCCUACACACUUCAUCUGGAUCCAACAACAUCCAGUUCCAACCUCCACACAGAACCACGCAAUUCGUCAAUACUUCUAUACCAUACCUAAGUAUCAUUCCAUCUUUGUAAAGCUAUAGGCAGGAUUUGCUUGCACACAUAAAGUAUCAUUAUAUAACUUUGUUUUAUGAUAAAUAAAUAUGAUUAAUUCUU
rnacentral:lncRNA from 1 species